GCUUGCUGAUAUAUAUUUUAAGCUUUUUUGAAACACACCCAGUAAUAACCUAAGACACACUUAUGGAUAAAUUGAUACAUUUACGAAACUUAGUAUUCACUAAUAUAUAGUAUAUAGUCAGUUGAUACAUAUUUAGCAAAAUAUUUAUCCGAUAUCUCUAUAACAUCUCUAGGUAACAUGAUACACAGAUUCUAUGAACUUUUAGAUGUGAAGAUCUUAAAAAAGAAGAAAAAGACCCAAGAAAGAACUCAUAGAUAGAAGAGAUGGUGCAUG
rnacentral:lncRNA from 1 species